CCCUUUAAGCAGAAAGCUGUUUGUCAGCAGCUGAAACUUUGAAGUGUUAGUCAUUGGAGUUUGGCACAUCAGUGGUGCACUGACAGCUGAGGCAUCAGAGGCACUGGGAAGUGGCAGGAAUACUGAUUCCAGCACAACUGCAUAUGGAAAGGGAAUAAGAAAUGCAGCCCAUAGAGAACUGUCAUGGAAGCUGUAUUCUGCCGGACCAAACUUUUAUUAAUGAUGCAGCCACAGGAGCUCAUUAAGCAUCUGCAGACUACUAGGAUUUUACAUAAAGCACAAACAACAGGUAACUGUAAACUGUAGCACUUUCCUUUUUGUCAGAGGGCUCACUGACUUCAUUGGUCAUUGGAAACUCCAGCCAGCAAGCAAGCCGUUCCCUGAUCUCCACUCCACCAACUUUCUGCUCAGCCAAGAUCCAGAUUCUGCUGCUGCUAUGGAUCAGAAAGGUCACAGGAGGCACCCGUGGGCUUAUUUAUGGGUACACAGCCAGCCUGAGCCUGAGCAAGUGCCCAAUGAAAGAACUUGGCGUUAUACCAGAUACUAAGAAAGAAAAAUCAACUCUGUCUCACCUGAACCAGGACAGUGGGAGAAUACCUGAAGAAGAGAGGUGAGAAGGAAAGACCCUUACUGGUUGUUGCUUUGUUUGUACACUUUUCCAGAGGCAGUUGCCACUGAUCACUCUUGGAGCACUCCUGAACAAGGUGCGAGAGGGGCAUAUAGCCUGAACUGGCACCUUAUGUUCUUUGUGUCAUAGCUACCUCCAUGCAUCAAGUCAGGAAGACAGAAGUGCUAGACAUCUCCUGGAGAAAGAAAAGCAUUUGGAUAGGCUAAAUCUCCAGUUUGCACAGACAUGUGGCAAAUACAUAGUCCCUUGUGGAAAAUCUAGGCUGGUUCAUUGCCUUCAGAUUGCCAGUGAGGCCUGGCAAUAACACAAGCCAACUGAUGAUGAGAAUUUUGAUUGAGUCAUUCUGUUUGGCUAUAAAAGAUACCUUCAAAGAGAAUACAGUCUUGAAAGACUGCACCAGGUGUCAUCAAUAACAAAGUGAAGAUUUGCCACUGCCAGCUUAAAAUGGUUUACGCUGCAGAGCACUUACUGUUGAUAAUAAAAGGACAAAAUUAAAACAAAUUUGUCAGCAGUUCUGUGUCAAGCUAGAAAAGAUGAGUUGUGCAGUUGACACUCUAGAGGGAAGAGCUUAAGAGAUGGCCCCAUGCAAGCUUUAUGAAGUUCAACAAGGCCAAACAAAAGGCCUUGCUCCUCGGUUCCAGGCAAUCCCAAGCACAAUGCAGGCAGGGCCAUGAGUGGAUUGAGAGCAGUCCUGAAGGGGGACUUGGAAGUGCUGGUUGAUGAGAAUUUCAACAAGAGCUAGCAAUGUGCUGUUGAGCCUAGAAAACCUGUCAUAUCCUGGGCUGCAUCUAAAGCAACAUGACCAUCAGGGCAAGGGAGGUGAUUCUUCCUCUUCUGUUUCAUUCCUAUGAGACCCAACCUGUAGCACUGCAUUCAGGUCUUGCCCCCAGCACUAGAAGGACAUAGAGCUGUUGCAGUUGGGUCCAGAGAAGACCAUGAGGGCUGGAGUGUCUCUUCUAUGGAGACAGGCUGAGAGA